GCCUUCGUGGUGUAGUGGUCAGCACGCUCGACGCGUAACCGAAAGGUCCGUGGUUCGAUUCUCGGCGAGCGCA
rnacentral:tRNA from 1 species